UACGAAGGGAGCUAGCGUUGUUCGGGAUUACUGGGCGUAAAGCGCGCGUAGGUGGUCAUACAAGUCAGGGGUGAAAUCCCACGGCUCAACCGUGGAACUGCCUUUGAAACUGUAUGGCUAGAGUUCGGAAGAGGAGAGUGGAAUUCCUAAUGUAGAGGUAAAAUUUGUUGAUAUCAGGAGGAACAUCAAAAGCGAAGGCAAUUCUCUGGUACUCUACUGACGUUGAGGUGCGACAGCGUGGGGAGCGAAAGGG
rnacentral:rRNA from 1 species